rnacentral:rRNA from 1 species
UACAUAGGGGGCAAGCGUUGUCCGGAAUGACUGGGUGUAAAGGGUGUGUAGGUGGCUUAUUAAGUUAGAAGUGAAAGCCCAGGGCUUAACUCUGGAACUGCUUUUAAAACUGGUUGGCUUGAGUGUGGGAGAGGUAAGUGGAAUUCCUAGUGUAGCGGUGGAAUGCAUAGAUAUUAGGAGGAACAUCAGAGGCGAAGGCGACUUACUGGAACAUUACUGACACUGAAACACGAAAGGGUGGGGAGCAAAC